CAGCAGCCGCGGGAAUACGGAGGGUGCAAGCGUUAUCCGGAUUUAUUGGGUUUAAAGGGUCCGUAGGCGGACUUAUAAGUCAGUGGUGAAAGCCUGUCGCUUAACGAUAGAACUGCCAUUGAUACUGUAAGUCUUGAGUAUAUUUGAGGUAGCUGGAAUAAGUAGUGUAGCGGUGAAAUGCAUAGAUAUUACUUAGAACACCAAUUGCGAAGGCAGGUUACCAAGAUAUAACUGACGCUGAGGGACGAAAGCGUGGGUAGCGAACAGGAUUAGAUACCCCUGUAGUCCCUGUCUCUUAUAA
rnacentral:rRNA from 1 species